UGGGGAAUAUUGGACAAUGGGCGAAAGCCUGAUCCAGCCAUGCCGCGUGUGUGAAGAAGGUCUUCGGAUUGUAAAGCACUUUAAGUUGGGAGGAAGGGCAUUAACCUAAUACGUUGGUGUUUUGACGUUACCGACAGAAUAAGCACCGGCUAACUCUGUG
rnacentral:rRNA from 2 species